CCGAUGAUGCUGAAAUGCCUCAAACCAUGACUCCUAAGAAUUUCCUCAGUUUUGAACUCUUUGAUCAUAUUAUGACUCACACCAUGAGUUGUAUGGUAUAGUGACAGGUAUAGGGACCCAAAUUGUAUGUUGUUCAGUGUGUUAUUAUCCAAGUCAUGUCUUAGUUGCGAGAGACUCCAUAUGAGUCAUAUAUUGAUAUGAUAAGAGGGUUUAGUCCAAUAGUAUGUUGUCCAGUAUUUAGCUCUUGGUGUUCUAUCUUGGAUAUGACUAUACCAUACCAGUCGUAUGGUCUA
rnacentral:lncRNA from 1 species